GCAAGGGGGGUGUGGUUUGAUGGGGAAGGAAACAAGAAGAGUUGGAUUUAACUCAAGAUGAAAACACAUAUUGAGAUGGGUCCCCCCCAAAGACUUCUCUGGUAUAAGUAACAAAACCUCCAGUGUCCCAAGGAAAUGAAUCUGGGACAUGAGUGUGGUGUGACGUUAUUUAUGCUGGGUUCGGGUCAUUUGGGAAGUCAAAUUUCAACUGGGAAUAAGCUGUUGAAUUUAGAGGAGAAACUCUCUGGAAGACCGUGGAUGGCCACCAGAUACUGUCUGGAGGAAAACAAGGAAUCAGUAUGGCAGACCAGCUCGCAAUGAAAGCAGAGAGGCAGCUGGGAUGCGGACACUCACCGUCGGACCAGCGUUCUCUCGCAGGAUCUGAGCCCGACGACCGCUGGGUGCCUGGAGCCAGCCUGGGCAGGUCACUCCAUCCUCCUUGGUCUCGUCUGCAGCUGCCUGAGGAUAAGAUAAUACCUGCCCCACAGAGUUGUGUUGAGGGCAAAAACGCGUCACUGUGCAUUGUGUGUUCCAGGGACCCAGCACACAGCAAGGGUGGCGCAAGCGUGAUGAGCUACAGGCACUGGCCCCGCCUUCACGGGUCCCCUUUCCCUCUGAAUUCCGUGCUCUACCCACAAUGAACACCCUCCAGAAU